rnacentral:lncRNA from 1 species
GCACCUACUCGCCUGUGGCUCCGUCGUCGGAGGACCUCUUACCGUUGUCGGAAUCAGUUUCUAGGGAGGGAUCUAAGGCCCUCGGUCCUUCGGGUUGUUGGCCGAGCUUCGGUGCGCUACGAUGGGAGGGCCGAGUAGCCCAUUUCCCUUGCCGUCGGCCUAGGGCCACGAUGGCGGUGCGCCGGAGGCCGAAAAGGCUUUAAUGGCCGGAGUUUUGAUAGAAGGGAGGGGAGGGGCC